rnacentral:rRNA from 1 species
AUUGCCAUCGCUCAACGGAUAAAAGCUACCCUGGGGAUAACAGGCUUAUCACUCCCAAGAGUUCACAUCGACGGAGUGGUUUGGCACCUCGAUGUCGGCUCAUCGCAUCCUGGGGCUGCAGCAGGUCCCAAGGGUUGGGCUGUUCGCCCAUUAAAGCGGAACGCGAGCUGGGUUCAGAACGUCGUGAGACAGUUCGGUCCCUAUCCGGCGCAGGCGGAGGAUAUCUGAGGGGAGCCGUCCCUAGUACGAGAGGACCGGGAUGGACGGGCCGCUGGUGGACCUGUUGGGCAUCAAGCCCACGGCAGGGUAGCCAAGCCCGGCAGGGAUAAACGCUGAAGGCAUCUAAGCGUGAAGCCCCCCCCGAGAUGGGAUAUCCCGCAGAGAAAUCUGUUAAGACCCCUUGAAGACGACGAGGUAGAUAGGGAUGGGGUGUAAGCACAGCAAUGUGUUGAGCUGACAUCCACUAAUCGGUCGAGGGCUUAACCAG